rnacentral:rRNA from 1 species
CCUACGGGAGGCAGCAGUGAGGAAUAUUGGUCAAUGGACGAGAGUCUGAACCAGCCAAGUAGCGUGAAGGAUGACUGCCCUAUGGGUUGUAAACUUCUUUUAUAUGGGAAUAAAAUGUUCCACGUGUGGGAUUUUGUAUGUACCAUAUGAAUAAGGAUCGGCUAACUCCGUGCCAGCAGCCGCGGUAAUACGGAGGAUCCGAGCGUUAUCCGGAUUUAUUGGGUUUAAAGGGAGCGUAGGUGGAUUGUUAAGUCAGUUGUGAAAGUUUGCGGCUCAACCGUAAAAUUGCAGUUGAAACUGGCAGUCUUGAGUACAGUAGAGGUGGGCGGAAGUCGUGGUGUAGCGGUGAAAUGCUUAGAUAUCACGAAGAGCUCCGAUUGCGAAGGCAGUUCACUGGACUGCAACUGACACUGAGGCUCGAAAGUGUGGGUAUCAAACAGGAUUAGAUACCCGUGUAGUC